rnacentral:rRNA from 1 species
UGGGGAAUAUUGGACAAUGGGCGAAAGCCUGAUCCAGCAAUGCCGCGUGAGUGAUGAAGGCCUUAGGGUUGUAAAGCUCUUUUACCCGGGAUGAUAAUGACAGUACCGGGAGAAUAAGCCCCGGCUAACUCCGUGCCAGCAGCCGCGGUAAUACGGAGGGGGCUAGCGUUGUUCGGAAUUACUGGGCGUAAAGCGCGCGUAGGCGGCUUUGUAAGUUAGAGGUGAAAGCCCGGGGCUCAACCCCGGAAUUGCCUUUAAGACUGCAUCGCUAGAAUCGUGGAGAGGUAAGUGGAAUUCCGAGUGUAGAGGUGAAAUUCGUAGAUAUCUGGAGGAAUACCGGUGGCGAAGGCGGCAUCCUGGACCAUUACUGACGCUGAGGCGCGAAAGCUAGGGGAGCAAA